UACGAAGGGGGCUAGCGGUGCUCGGAAUGACUGGGCGUAAAGGGCGCGUAGGCGGACUGCACAGCCAGGCGUGAAAUUCCUGGGCUUAACCUGGGGACUGCGUCUGAGACGUGUGAUCUAGAGUGAGGAAGAGGGUCGUGGAAUUUCCAGUGUAGAGGUGAAAUUCGUAGAUAUUGGAAAGAACACCGGUGGCGAAGGCGGCGAACUGGUCCUUGACUGACGCUGAGGCGCGAAAGCGUGGGGAGCAAACAGG
rnacentral:rRNA from 1 species